GAUGAACGCUGGCGGCGUGCCUAAUACAUGCAAGUCGAGCGAACAGACGAGUAGCUUGCUCCUCUGACGUUAGCGGCGGACGGGUGAGUAACACGUGGAUAACCUACCUAUAAGACUGGGAUAACUUCGGGAAACCGGAGCUAAUACCGGAUAAUAUAUUGAACCGCAUGGUUCAAUAGUUAAAGACGGUUUUGCUGUCACUUAUAGAUGGAUCCGCGCCGCAUUAGCUAGUUGGUAAGGUAACGGCUUACCAAGGCAACGAUGCGUAGCCGACCUGAGAGGGUGAUCGGCAACACUGGAACUGAGACACGGUACAGACUCCUAGGGGAGGCAGCAGUAGGGAAUCUUCCGAAAUGGGCGAAAGCCUGACGGAGCAACGCCGCGUGAGUGAUGAAGGGCUUCGGAUCGUAAAACUCUGUUAUUAGGGAAGAACAAAUGUGUAAGUAACUAUGCACGUCUUGACGGUACCUAAUCAGAAAGCCACGGCUAACUACGUG
rnacentral:rRNA from 1 species